AUCUUAUUGGAUAAUAAUUAACACGUGUCAUGUUCUGAUUGAAUGUCAAUUCCAUGAAAGAUGAAAUAUAUUGUUGUUGUCAUUUGUCAAUCAGAACAUGACACGUGACAAUAAGUAUCU
rfam:Glycine max cultivar Williams 82 chromosome 8, whole genome shotgun sequence.